ACUGGGUCUCGCUUGCUCUGUCACCCAGGCGGGAGUGCAGUGACACGAUCGGGACCCACUGUAGCCUCAAACUCCUGCCCUUAAGCAAUCCAAGUGCUUCAGCCUCCCGAGUAGCUGAGACUGCAGGUGGAGUCUCGCUCUGUCACCCAGGCUGGAGUGCAAUGGCACGGUCUCAGCUCACUGCAACCUCUGCCUCCCAGAUUCAAGCAAUUCUGCCUCAACCUCCUGAGUAGCUGGGACUACAGGCACGUGUCACCACGCCCAGCUAUUUUUUUUUAUUUUAUUUUAUUUUUUUUUUUGAGACAGAGUCUCCCUCUGUCGCCCAGGCUGGAGUGCAAUGGCGCAAUCUCAGCUCACUGCAAGCUCCGCCUCCCCGGUUCCCGCCAUUCUCCUGCCUGAGCCUCCCGAGUAGCUGGGACUACAGGCGCCUGCCACCCAUGCCCGGGUAAUUUUUUUUUUUGUAUUUUUUAGUAGAGACGGGGUUUCACUGUGUUAGCCAGGAUGGUCUCGAUCUCCUGACCUCAUGAUCAGCCCGCCUCGGCCUCCCAAAGUGCUGGGAUUACAGGCGUGAGCCACCAUGCCCGGCCUUAAUAACUUUUUAAAGGAUGUCAAGUUAAUGGAAUGUAUUCUGCUUUAGAAAAUAAAACUCUUAGGUUUUCAAAAAUUAGCAA